rnacentral:sRNA from 1 species
UCUAAUGACCGAGUUGACCACUUUCCGGCCCUGGGUGGCGUUGCCGACCUCCCUGGGCCAGUCCGAAGGCCUCACUGAGCCAUUCAAUCGGUAGUAGCGACGGGCGGUGUGUACAAGCAGGAAACUUUCAACAACGGAUCUCUUGUUCUGGCAUCGAUGAAGAACGCAGCGAAAUGCGAUAAGUAAUGUGAAUUGCAGAAUUCAGUGAAUCAUCAAUCUUUGAACGCACAUUGCGCCCUUUGUAUUCCGAAGAUGCCUGUUCGAGCGUCAUUUCACCACUCAAGCCUGGUUGGUAUUGGGCGUCGCGUUCUUCGCGCGCCUUAAAGCUUCCGGCUGAGCUGUCCGUCUCUAAGCGUUGUGAUUUUUCAAUUCGCUUCGGAGUGCGGGUGGCCACGCCGUUAAAUCUUUACUCAA